rnacentral:rRNA from 1 species
GACGAACGCGGCGGCGUGCCUAAUACAUGCAAGUAGAACGCUGAAGAGAGGAGCUUGCUCUUCUUGGAUGAGUUGCGAACGGGUGAGUAACGCGUAGGUAACCUGCCUGGUAGCGGGGGAUAACUAUUGGAAACGAUAGCUAAUACCGCAUGACAUUGAUUAUCGCAUGAUAAUUAAUUGAAAGAUGCAAUUGCAUCACUACCAGAUGGACCUGCGUUGUAUUAGCUAGUUGGUGAGGUAACGGCUCACCAAGGCGACGAUACAUAGCCGACCUGAGAGGGUGAUCGGCCACACUGGGACUGAGACACGGCCCAGACUCCUACGGGAGGCAGCAGUAGGGAAUCUUCGGCAAUGGGGGGAACCCUGACCGAGCAACGCCGCGUGAGUGAAGAAGGUUUUCGGAUCGUAAAGCUCUGUUGUAAGAGAAGAACGGGUGUGAGAGUGGAAAGUUCACACUGUGACG